CACAUGAGCCAUGAGGUUAUGUAGUCAGAAUGGUAUCUACAAAGAUGCUUUUCUAUACCAUCUAUGUGAUAUCUACACAGGAGAGGACCUUGCCAUGUCCUAAUGUUGACCGGUUAAUUAGGAAGUAAACUCAUCAUCAGCUGUAGUUGCACAUGGAUUUUGAACCUGGCUGUGGAGACAAUAAUGGAAGCCUUAAGCCUGAACCCAAACCCACCGAUCCUGAUCCUACCGAGGGUGGCAGCGGUGGCCCAGCGAGUCCUAAACCAAGAAAGAUUGUAGCCUUCACAGCAAAACUUAACAUCUGUGACAGCUACCCAACUCACAGAGGAAUCCUGAAGUUUACCAACAUCCUGGUCAAUGAGGGAGAUGGCUACAGUACCGACACAGGAAAAUUCACCUGCUCGCUAGCUGGCUUGUACCACUUGACACUGUACAUGUCCACCUACGGGCGCGCCCAGUGUAGUAUCUUAAAGAAUGGCCAGCGGGUUGUCUCAGCAUACCAUACCAGCCUGCCAGACAAUUGUUGCCAUGUAGCCAGCAUUGGUAGUGUGAUUGAGCUCACUAAAGGAGAGCAUGUUUGGGUUAAUCUGUGGGGGCCUACAAGGCAUGACAUUUUUGCUACUGAAGAGAAGGGUCAUCUAAUUUGUAAUUGAUGAAAUUUCAAUAUUUCUCAGUGUUUUAGAAUUUGUUGUUUAUUAGGCUAAAUCUGUGUGCCCAAUGCCACCCCUCAUCUCUGAUUCCCCGCUGUGCGCACAAUAUCAAGUGCGCCUAUAGGCUAUUUAGUGUGGUCUCAAUCAAAUGAUCCAAAUUAUCCAUAGCCUAUAGGCUAAAGGAUAUACGAAGUGCAUGCCGAGAGAAGAGGAAGUUAUAUUUGUAAGGAAAUUAACUUCCUUCCUGAGUCUUUUGCACUGCUGGGAUGGUGUGAUAAAUAAUUGUCGAUUAGGCCUAGUCCAACAAAUGCGACAUCGUGCUUGCGGAUUAGACUAUAUGUUCUGUUCAGCUUGAGAAGGACAGCAUGAAUAUGAAAAGGAGGACCUAAUGUUAACUUUGAUAGCUUGCUACCACUAUAAUUGAUUUUAAGAAAAACAAUGUUUUUUGCCCAUUAUGUUUUUCUCAGAGGUAUUGACCUCACAGAAAGACAGAUUCAAGUAACUUGGUGCUGAAACUUGAAGCAGGCAGCCGCAGCACAAGAAAUCGAAAAAAUCAUGGUGCUGAAAGUAGGCAUAUUAGAGUAGGAAUAAUUCAUUUAAACUGUCUUCAUUAUAGUUUUACUUAACUAACAAAAGGGAUUUAUAUUGGAACAAUUUUCAUCCUAUUUAAGAAAUAAGAGGUAGGCCUUACCUAUUUUACAGAUGAAAUUAGGCAGUAGGCUGCAAUCCAAACUCCAUGCACUCUUCAAAUAGUCUACCUGAGUGUCGGUGAAGGAAAUUAAAUAAUUCCAGGUAGCCUAGCAGUUAAGAGCAUUGGGCCAGUAACUGAAAGGGUGCUAGUUCAAAUCCCUGAGCCGACUAUGUGAAAAACAUGUCGAUGUUUCCUUGUGCAAACCACUUAACCCUAAUUGUUCUUGUAAGUCGCUCUGGAUAAGAGUGUCAACUAAAUGAAUAAAAUAUAAAUUAUUUGGCAUCUGAAAAAUACAGUAUGAUAAGAUGAAUCCAUAGGCCUAUCUCUCUGUCCAUUCUUAUCCUGUCAUUUAUGGUAUUAAAAAAGAUUCUCCUAAGGUCUCCAGUCAUGUAAAAUGACAUACUCCUAGAAUUACAUUAAAUGUUUAUAAUAUGCUAUCUUGGACCCGUAAAUACAAUACUUUUACUAUACUCCGGCAUAGUGGACGCGUCAUAAUACCCAUAAAACCUAGCGGUAAAACCCAGUAAUGGUUCCAAUCGUUUUUUCACCAUUCAUUUUUGCGUCUGGGAUUUUAGAACUACUUCAUAUAAGGUCUGUGUUUUGUGUAGGCUUAUACUGACGUCUCGUUUUGAUAACCAUGUAAUUCUCUCUCGGAAAAGGUGAGUUUUAUCAAUAUAUUGGCUUCAAUUUACAAAAAAAAAUUUUAAAUGCUGAUUAGCAACAGAGAUGACCUCAGUAAGACUACAAAUUCCUGCAGGAAGCUCCUGCACUUCAUCUCUAGUCGACACUGUCAGCUACCGUUCACCAGCAUGAUCAGAGACCUGUGUACAAUCCAUAAACUUCUUAUGUCCCCUUUCUCGGUCUUAGCUAGCCACUGACUACACUUUAGCUAGCUAAUUAUUACAGCAGUAGAUCCCAAAAAUAUUUUGUUUUGCUUAGCCUAGAUAAUUGUUUGUCCAGUGUGUCGAUUCAGGCUUUACGGCAUUUUUCAAGUAUGAGCAUAAGAGCAUUGAAAGGGGAGAAGACCACUAUAAGUCUGGCCAUGUGGAGAAGUGCAACUAUAGUGAGGGGAAACAUACCGGUUUGGUCAGGGCCAGCAUGAGGGAUAAAGUUUAUCCUGUGUCGGUGAGUGUAGCUAUUAAGUUAAGUUUGAGCAUCUUAGCAAUACAAUGUGUUCUAUACAGCUGUCAACAUUCUACAGGGAAAGAGACACUUAUACAAUUAUACUGUAUAAGUAUCAAUUAUACUGUAUAAUCAUUAACCAGAUUACCCUGGAUACCAGACUUCAAUGAGUGAUAACUCAGUUCUAGAAUGUUGUCAUUGAUGAGAAUGAAUAAAAAAAUCUAUUGACAUUCAGAAUGGACUUUGUUUAGACAUCCAGCCUGUAUGGUAGUUUCAUGACCAGAGACAAAUCUUCAGAGGCACAGUAUUUAUUUAUAAGGAGUGGUACAUGUGGUAACGCUUUACUUGCAGCAACAUAUUAUAUAUUAUGUCAUAACAGCUGACACAACUUGUUAUACCUUAUACCUGUU
rnacentral:lncRNA from 1 species